rnacentral:tRNA from 1 species
UAUUAGGUGACUGAAAAAGUAUUGGUCUCUUAAAUCACUUCAUAGUAGUCUAACCUACUCCUAAUAA